AUUGAACGCUGGCGGCAGGCUUAACACAUGCAAGUCGAGCGGGGAAAGGUAGCUUGCUACCUGACCUAGCGGCGGACGGGUGAGUAAUGCUUAGGAAUCUGCCUAUUAGUGGGGGACAACAUUCCGAAAGGAAUGCUAAUACCGCAUACGCCCUACGGGGGAAAGCAGGGGAUCUUCGGACCUUGCGCUAAUAGAUGAGCCUAAGUCAGAUUAGCUAGUUGGUGGGGUAAAGGCCUACCAAGGCGACGAUCUGUAGCGGUUCUGAGAGGAUGAUCCGCCACACUGGGACUGCGACACGGCCCAGACUCCUACGGGAGGCAGCAGUGGGGAAUAUUGGACAAUGGGCGCAAGCCUGAUCCAGCCAUGCCGCGUGUGUGAAGAAGGCCUUUUGGUUGUAAAGCACUUUAAGCGAGGAGGAGGCUACUUAGAUUAAUACUCUAGGAUAGUGGACGUUACUCGCAGAAUAAGCACCGGCUAACUCUGUGCCAGCAGCCGCCGUAA
rnacentral:rRNA from 1 species